rnacentral:rRNA from 2 species
UGGGGAAUAUUGCACAAUGGGGGAGACCCUGAUGCAGCGACGCCGCGUGAACGAAGAAGGUAUUCGUAUCGUAAAGUUCUGUCCUAUGGGAAGAUAAUGACAGUACCAUAGAAGAAAGCUCCGGCUAAAUACGUGCCAGCAGCCGCGGUAAUACGUAUGGAGCGAGCGUUGUCCGGAAUUAUUGGGCGUAAAGGGUACGCAGGCGGUUUAAUAAGUCGAAUGUUAAAGAUCGGGGCUCAACCCCGUAAAGCAUUGGAAACUGAUAAACUUGAGUAGUGGAGAGGAAAGUGGAAUUCCUAGUGUAGUGGUGAAAUACGUAGAUAUUAGGAGGAAUACCAGUAGCGAAGGCGACUUUCUGGACACAAACUGACGCUGAGGUACGAAAGCGUGGGGAGCAAACAGG